rnacentral:lncRNA from 10 species
CAGCCCUCCAAAAGGCACAAUGUCUUCCAUCAGGCAAAAGUGACACCACAACAUUCAUUAUAGGAAGUAAGAGACAUUCAUCACUGGAAUAUUUUAGCAAAUGAAUCACAACAGACUGAUAGCAUAACUCAUGUUCUAAGGCCAAGAACAAGAAUUGCAUAGUUUAUUUUAAGACAGCAGAAGAGUAAAAAACAGAUUGAAAAACAUAUGAUACCCUCUCCAGCUCAGAGCUCUACAAACAGCAGUGGCGUUUGCAAAGUUCUAUGUAUCUUCUCAAAUGUGGUUUCAGUUUUAAUGUGUGUUGACAUCUUUGUGUGCAGAACUAACUGGAGGAACAACAGUUUGUGCUUUUUUUCCCUUCUUGCUACAAGGGUGAGAACAGGGAAAGAACCAAACGAUCUGUGUUUACUUUGAGCAGCCAUACACCAUGCAUGGACACUAAGCUUCUUACUGCUUCUGAUUAGUGACCUCAAUUGAGACUCAUUGCUCAUUGCAAAGACUGCUAAUGGAUUGUUUGAGCCUGAAUGUGUUAGGAUGGAAUAUUUCUUCUUCUCAGAUUCAAGGCCAGUUUUUUUCCACCCCAAGUCCAUUCUACCCAGAGUUCUAGAUGAUGAUGGUCAGGUUAUUCAAGAUAAUGAUUAUGUUUUCUAGAUGAUUUAAAAUGAAGUUCAACUUUUAUUAUCUUCCCUAUAAUGAUAUUUGUAGUCUUUAUGUUCAAUAACAAGCUGUCAGGCUGCCUCAGUUUAAGCCAAGGCAUUUUCUUAUCAAAACCCAUCACAGAAAAAGAUACAAUCAUGAAACCACAGAUUCUUGUAGCUCUUCACAGUAAACUUUAACUAUGAAUAACCUCUUGGAUUAUUAGCCGAUUGUGAUUACAUUUAUAUUAUUUGCUCACAUGCUUUGUCACUUUAGAGCCCUGAAAACCCUGUUCAUUGUUGCUAGGAGAUGGGUGGCUAUGGCAACAGUGUGGGUCAGAGCCAGAUGGAAUGCCUAAAGCAUAAUCAGGUUUAGGCUUUUUUUUGAUCUCCAAAUGACUCCAUGGCAGUCCUGAGCACGGAAGCCCCAAAUCACUGCCUCUUCAGCUUGUUUCAAAAGACAUAUUCCUUGAAGGUAGAAUCACUGUCAGCAGAGUCCUUGCCAGGAACGACUUUCCAGUGAAGGAGACAAUGGAAAUUUGGACAACAUUUUGAAAACCACUAACAGUAACAACGUGUUAAUAAUAAUUAAAACAUUAAGAUGAAGAAGACAAAGAAGGAGAAAUAUGAAGGGAUUGCUAAUUGCUGGUGUUCUGCAUUUGUUUUCUUAUUUAAUCCUCAUCAUAACCUUAUGAGGUGGGUAACAAUUUG